rnacentral:rRNA from 1 species
UUUUGGACAAUGGGGGCAACCCUGAUCCAGCCAUGCCGCGUGAGUGAAGAAGGCCUUCGGGUUGUAAAGCUCUUUCGGACGGAACCAAAUGGGCGGGACUAAUACUCCCGUCCGAUGACGGUACCGUAAGAAGAAGCACCGGCUAACUACGCGCCAGCAGCCGCGGUAAUACGUAGGGUGCGAGCGUUAAUCGGAAUUACUGGGCGUAAAGCGUGCGCAGGCGGUUUCGUAAGCUGGAGGUGAAAUCCCCGGGCUUAACCUGGGAAUGGCCUUCAGGACUGCGAGGCUAGAGUGCGGCAGAGGGAGGUGGAAUUCCACGUGUAGCAGUGAAAUGCGUAGAGAUGUGGAGGAACACCGAUGGCGAAGGCAGCCUCCUGGGCCAGCACUGACGCUCAUGCACGAAA